UACGAAGGGGGCGAGCGUUAUCCGGAUUUACUGGGUUUAAAGGGUGCGCAGGCGGAUAUGUAAGUCAGUGGUGAAAUCUCCGGGCUUAACCCGGAAACUGCCGUUGAUACUAUAUAUCUUGAAUGCUGUGGAGGUAAGCAGAAUAUGUCAUGUAGCGGUGAAAUGCUUAGAUAUGACAUAGAAUACCGAUUGCGAAGGCAGCUUACUACACAGAUAUUGACGCUCAGGCACGAAAGCGUGGGGAGCAAAAGGG
rnacentral:rRNA from 1 species